UUCAUCUCUUCUUCGCAGCUCCUCUUUCUCUCCUAUUUUUCUUCAUCCUUCUUCUUCGCAACAACAGUUAAACACUUAAACUUACUGAGGAGAGAUCGAUUGAUUCGAUCCAACUAUUGGGUACUUGAGUUGAAAUUGAACCAAGAGUUACUGGAUCCUAUCAACAAUAAUUCCACCACCAGUGCUUCCAUGGAAUAGAUCUCCACAACCACUUCACCACCACUGCUACCACUUCAAUUCUUCUUUUCUUCAGUGUAGUGUGUAGUACUGCGGCUAUUAGUUAUUAAGACAGAAACACUUAAAGAGUUUAAGAAUACUGUAGUAUUGUUUGUGUGUGUCUGUGUGUGUCUGUGUGCUUCUGUUGCCUGUAGUGGACUGCAGUCUGCAGCUUUGCUACUUGUUAUUUUUCAUAUUUUCAAGACUUUGGCACUUUGCUUUGCUAGUAUUAUUGCUGCUUGUUAGUUGUUA